UAUUUUUCAAGAACUUCUCUAGUCCUCAAGGUUUUUUUUUGGUGAUUUUCCCAUUGGUUUCCUAGAACAUCGUCCGUUUUAAACAUGUUGCAAUAUUCAACCUGAAAUGCCUCCAGGGAUUUCUCAGGAUUUCCUACAUAAUUGUCCUUCAGCAUUUCUUUAAGAUUUUGACUAGGAAUUUCUCUGAGGAUAUCUUGAGAAAUUACUCCAGAGAUAGCUUCUAAGAUUUCUUUGGAAAUUCCAGAAACAGGAAAUUCCACUAACAGUAACUCCUCCAAUAAAUUUUAGAGAUUUCUCAAUGAAGUUUUCCCAGAUUUUUUCAAUCAUUCUUCCAAGAGUUUUUCGUGAAGAAUUUCUAGCAAGAGUAACCUCUAAAAAAACUUGUGUAAGUUGUUUAGUAAUUUUUGAUAAAUAAGGAUUUUUAGAAAAACACUUGACAAAACUUGAGAGUAAUUGCUAAAAUUAUUGAAACAAAAAGAAACAGAUCAAUAAUGAAUCUCUGUGGAGCAACUCCUUGAAAAACGAAAUCGCUACGAAAUUGUGUAGGAAUGAUCGGAGGAUUUCUUGGAAAAACAGCUGUAGUAGUAACUAAUGUGGAAUCUUAGAUGAACUUUUGAGAAUUCUAUGAUAUUUUUUUUUAUUAGAUUGAUUGAGGAAUGUUGGGAAAAACUGUAAUCCU